UCAAUAGGCUUGAAUGGCACAGCUGUUAUAAACCUGCAUUUUUAGUUGCUCCAACAGUUAUCGCUUAUGGAUUGGUUCAUAGGUUGGAUUGGGUGAAACUGACAUGAUUCCCACUGAUGUUUUCCAGGAGAGAUGUCAGCGAUUCGGGCCAAUGACCAAGGGAAAGCUGGGACAAAAGAGAGAAAUGGAUGCUGCGGCCACUGAUUGCGCAUCAGAGAAUGACUCUGAGAAAGAGGAGUCAUCUGAAGAAUCCUAUGAAGAAAAUCUGACCGGUAUGCCUAUACCUUACAUACACAUGGACCUAUUCUUAAUUACAAUGUCCUUUUCAACAUGUUUUCCAGGAGAGAUGUCAGCGAUUCGGGCCAAACAACCAAUAACCAAGGGAAGACUGGGACAAAAGAGAGGCUCACACGGUGACAAAGGAACAAAAAGGUAUUGGUCGACAAUAGAGGUGGAUGCAGUUGAAGAUUCCUUGAUGAACUUUAUCCGAAUGGGGAAAAAUGCCUGGAAAACAAGACUGUGAGAAAUGCAUUGCUGCUUCUCCCCAAGCGCUUUUAAACAGGGACUGGAGAGCAGUACAGUUCUAUAGACACAACAGAAUAGUUGCAGAUCAGAGAAAAUAAGUGUAUGAGAUGCUUCUGGCUAUCUCAUAGGCAGAUGACAAAUGUCCUCUAUCUCACUGUUCAGGGGAAGUUUUUCCUGGUGGAUGGUUCACGAGGUGAGAUCUUGCAUGGAGCCCCAG